rnacentral:sRNA from 1 species
GAUCGAUCGCCAUGGAUGCAUCAAUGUACACCAUCUUCUUGAUCUUUUAAUCUUUUCUUCUUCUUUUACUAUCUUUUCACUAGUAAGUAAAAGUAGACUGUAGCAGCUAGCAGAUCGACCAAAUGUAUGAUAUUUCAGAGGAGGAGAUCAGCAGCAAUACUAUAUUCAUCUCUUUGUUUUUUUUUUAUCUCGAUUGGAAGAUGAGUUUCAUGAGUGGUAGUUGAGUUGAUCAUGUAUACUCCUAUAGUAGCCAAAACCCAAAAAAGUGUACGAGGCUUAAUUAGAUUAUGGUUUGUUUCCCC